AGUGAACGCUGGCGGUAGGCCUAACACAUGCAAGUCGAACGGCAGCACAGUAAGAGCUUGCUCUUACGGGUGGCGAGUGGCGGACGGGUGAGGAAUACAUCGGAAUCUACUUUUUCGUGGGGGAUAACGUAGGGAAACUUACGCUAAUACCGCAUACGACCUACGGGUGAAAGCAGGGGAUCUUCGGACCUUUCGCGAUUGAAUGAGCCGAUGUCGGAUUAGCUAGUUGGCGGGGUAAAGGCCCACCAAGGCGACGAUCCGUAGCUGGUCUGAGAGGAUGAUCAGCCACACUGGAACUGAGACACGGUCCAGACUCCUACGGGAGGGAGCAGUGGGGAAUAUUGGACAAUGGGCGAAAGCCUGAUACAGCCAUACCGCGUGGGUGAAGAAGGCCUUCGGGUUGUAAAGCCCUUUUGUUGGGAAAGAAAAGCAGCAGGUUAAUACCCCGCUGUUCUGACGGUACCCAAAGAAUAAGCACCGGCUAACUUCGUG
rnacentral:rRNA from 1 species